UACGAAGGGGGCUAGCGUUGUUCGGAAUCACUGGGCGUAAAGGGCGCGUAGGCGGCUUGACAAGUCAGGUGUGAAAGCCCCGGGCUCAACCCGGGAAUUGCACUUGAUACUGUCUGGCUAGAGUCCGGGAGAGGAUGGCGGAAUUCCCAGUGUAGAGGUGAAAUUCGUAGAUAUUGGGAAGAACACCGGUGGCGAAGGCGGCUCUCUGGACCGAUACUGACGCUGAGGCGCGAAAGCGUGGGGAGCAAAC
rnacentral:rRNA from 1 species